rnacentral:lncRNA from 1 species
CAUUAGGAAUCAUUCCACUGCUUUCCAUGUAUAUAUGCCCAACCAAUCCUGGGCAUCCUGGGCAUGAUGUUCCAGGCGGAACCAGAGCAUUCGAAACUGUAACUUGGGCCGGAGUUUAAAACUGCAACUCGACCCGAAACCUAUCACUGGAGCAAAAUCAUCCACUGCUCUAACUUCAUCCAUCUGCACGGGGAAUGUGGUUCAGGUAUACGCAUAUGUGAUACGUGUUGGGAGAAGACCUAGCAAUGUCGGCUCUCUUCUACCAAGUGGAUUAUAUGCAUUUGUUUAUCUCAUGGAUUUGUCGUGUAAAAUGUGUGGUCAUACAUUAAGAUCUUUAUUUGAUCGUAUAAUUAUUUCGGUUUUUUUGUUAGUUC